rnacentral:rRNA from 1 species
GAGAGUUAAAUAGUACGUGAAAUUGUUGAAAGGGAAACGAUUGAAGUCAGUCAUGCUAGUGAAAAUUCAGUUUGGUGGGUUUUGGGUUCAGGAGUUGAGGCAGGGUCAAACCGUUUCUCUUUUGAACUUGGAAUUUGUCAGAUGCACUUUUUCUUUGGCAGGUCAGCGUCGAUUUCGGAGGUUGUAAAAUACUUGGGGAAAAGUAGCUCUGCUUCGGGAGAGUGUUAUAGACCUUGGGUGAUGCGGCCUGCGGGAUCGAGGAUUGCAGCAAAUGCUUUUGGCUUGUCGCCUGAUCUCUGGACGUCAUCUCGCUUGUAUCAACAUUCUUGGUACCGGUGAGUAAUGGUGCUCAUAGGUUAGAGCGAUCAAAAAUUUUGCUAAGGAUGCUGACGUAAUGGCUUUAAACGA